UCGGGAAUUUUGGGCAAUGGGCGAAAGCCUGACCCAGCAACGCCGCGUGAGGGAUGAAGUAUUUCGGUAUGUAAACCUCGAAAGAAUGGGAAGAAUAAAUGACGGUACCAUUUAUAAGCUCCGGCUAACUACGUGCCAGCAGCCGCGGUAAUACGUAGGGAGCAAGCGUUGUUCGGAUUUACUGGGCGUAAAGGGAGCGUAGGCGGACUUUUAAGUGAGAUGUGAAAUACCCGGGCUCAACCUGGGUGCUGCAUUUCAAACUGGAAGUCUAGAGUGCAGGAGAGGAUAGUGGAAUUCCGAGUGUCGCGGUGAAAUGCGUAGAGAUUAGGAAGAACACCAGUGGCGAAGGCGACUCUCUGGACUGUAACUGACGCUGAGGCUCGAAAGCGUGGGGAGCAAACA
rnacentral:rRNA from 1 species